UCCGGUUUGGCACCGGCAGUCUCCAAUGAGUCCCCGGCAUUACCCGCUGGCAACAUUGGACAGGGGUUGCGCUCGUUGCGCCACUUAAGGCAACACCUCACGGCACGAGCUGACGACAGCCAUGCAACACCUAUCGCAGGCCCUUACGGACACCACAUCUCUGUGGCUUUUCCUGCGUAGUUCAGCCCAGGUAAGGUUCUUCGCGUUACAUCGAAUUAAGCCACAUGCUCCGCCGCUUGUGCGGGUCCCCGUCAAUUCCUUUGAGUUUUAGCCUUGCGGCCGUACUCCCCAGGCGGAACACUUAACGCGUUGGCUUCGGCACAGAUGACUUUCACAUCACCUACACCUAGUGUUCAUCGUUUACGGCGUGGACUAC
rnacentral:misc_RNA from 1 species